GAUGAACGCUUUCUUCUUUCUUAACACAUGCAAGUCGAACGGUGAGGCAGAGCUUGCUCUGUGGAUCAGUGGCGAACGGGUGAGUAACACGUGAGCAACCUGCCCCUGACUCUGGGAUAAGCGCUGGAAACGGCGUCUAAUACUGGAUAUGAGCUGCGACCGCAUGGUCAGCAGUUGGAAAGAUUUUUCGGUCUGGGAUGGGCUCACGGCCUAUCAGCUUGUUGGUGAGGUAAUGGCUCACCAAGGCGUCUCCGUGGAGCCGGCCUGAGAGGGUGACCGGCCACACUGGGACUGAGACACGGCCCAGACUCCUACGGGAGGCAGCAGUGGGGAAUAUUGCACAAUGGGCGAAAGCCUGAUGCAGCAACGCCGCGUGAGGGAUGACGGCCUUCGGGUUGUAAACCUCUUUUAGCAGGGAAGAAGCGAAAGUGACGGUACCUGCAGAAAAAGCGCCGGCUAACUACGUG
rnacentral:rRNA from 1 species